rnacentral:rRNA from 1 species
AUUGAACGCUGGCGGCAGGCCUAACACAUGCAAGUCGAACGAGUGGCGGACGGGUGAGUAAUGUCUGGGAAACUGCCUGAUUGAUGGGGAUAACUACUGGAAACGGUAGCUAAUACCGCAUACCAUCAGAUUGGCCCAGAUGGGAUUAGCUUGUUGGUGGGGUAAAGUCUCACCAAGGCGACUAUCCCUAGCUGGUAGGAGAGGAUGAACAGCCACACUGGAACUGAGACACGGUCCAGACGCCUACGGGAGGCAGCAGUGGGGAAUAUUGCACAAUGGGCGCAAGCCUGAUGCAGCCAUGCCGCGUGUAUGAAGAAGGCCUUCGGGUUGUAAAGUACUUUCAGCGGGGAGGCGUUACCCGCAGAAGAAGCACCGGCUAACUCCGUGCCAGCAGCCGCGGUAAUAC